CUUACCGAGGUGAGGAAGUUCAAGCAGAUACCAGACAUCAUCUGCCCUCUUCGAGCUCCUUUGGAUGUUGGUUGCAAGAAGGGGCCCUGUAGGUUGGGGGAGCUCAUGAUGCAACAACAAGAAUGGACAUGGAGGUUUGGCCAUCAGGAAGUUAAUGACUGAUAUUGUCAUGCAUGUGUUCAUUCUGGGCUUAUUUUGCUGUAUAUAUGUGAUUUAAGCCGUUGGAAUAUUGUAAUAGACUUAAUUAUUGCUGUUGUGAAAACAUGUUCAUGCA